UACGGAGGAUCCAAGCGUUAUCCGGAAUCAUUGGGCUUAAAGGGUCCGUAGGCGGCCGGGUAAGUCAGUGGUGAAAGCCCAUCGCUCAACGGUGGAACGGCCAUUGAUACUGCUCGGCUUGAAUUACUGAGAAGUAACUAGAAUAUGUAGUGUAGCGGUGAAAUGCUUAGAUAUUACAUGGAAUACCAAUUGCGAAGGCAGGUUACUGGCAGUUUAUUGACGCUGAUGGACGAAAGCGUGGGGAGCGAACAGG
rnacentral:rRNA from 1 species